UAGAUUGAUGCCCGCCGGUUCUGAGGCGCUUAGCUGUUAACUAAGAGUUUGUAGGAUCGAAGCCUACCUUUCUAG
rnacentral:tRNA from 1 species